CCUACGGGAGGCAGCAGUAGGGAAUCUUCCACAAUGGGCGAAAGCCUGAUGGAGCAACGCCGCGUGGGUGAAGAAGGUCUUCGGAUCGUAAAACCCUGUUGUUAGAGAAGAAAGUGCGUGAGAGUAACUGUUUACGUUUCGACGGUAUCUAACCAGAAAGCCACGGCUAACUACGUGCCAGCAGCUGCGGUAAUACGUAGGUGGCAAGCGUUAUCCGGAUUUAUUGGGCGGAAAGGGAACGCAGACGGUCUUUUAAGUCUGAUGUGAAAGCGUUCGGCUUAACCGGAGUAGUGCAUUGGAGACUGGGAGACUUGAGUGCAGAAGAGGAGGGUGGAACUCCAUGUGUAGCGGUGAAAUGCGUAGAUAUAUGGAAGAACACCAAUGGCGAAAGCGGCUCUCUGGUCUGUAACUGACGCUGAGGUUCGAAAGCGUGGGUAGCAAACAGGAUUAGAUACCCUAGUAGUC
rnacentral:rRNA from 1 species